rnacentral:snRNA from 20 species
AUACUUACCUUGAAAGGUCAUUGGAGAUCAAGAAGUCCAUUUGGCCAUAAAUUCUUGUUUACAUUGCACAGCGUAUCAAGUUUUUGUGUCGGUUUCCCUUCCUUAAGGGAAAUGCGGGUUUCAUAAUUUUUGAUUUUGGUUCAUUUACUU